CAGCCGCCGCGGGAAUACGAAGGGUGCAAGCGUUACUCGGAAUUACUGGGCGUAAAGCGUGCGUAGGUGGUGGUUUAAGUCCGUUGUGAAAGCCCUGGGCUCAACCUGGGAAUUGCAGUGGAUACUGGGUCACUAGAGUGUGGUAGAGGAUAGUGGAAUUUCCGGUGUAGCAGUGAAAUGCGUAGAGAUCGGAAGGAACAUCUGUGGCGAAGGCGACUAUCUGGGCCAACACUGACAUUGAGGCACGAAAGCGUGGGGAGCAAACAGGAUUAGAUACCCCCGUAGUCCCUGUCUCUUAUAC
rnacentral:rRNA from 1 species